rnacentral:lncRNA from 1 species
GCCACUUCUGUUUCUCUUUUGAGUUGCUAUAAAGUACAGACGAUUCUACCAACCUUGACACAAACGCCCAGCUGCCCCCAGUUCAGUGCCACAGAGAAAAGCCUUGCAGAACAGGUUGAGUUUGUGGAUGGGCAUGGGGUAGAAGGUAUCAUCUCUUCUCUAUCAAUGACUUGGGUGAUACUUCUGGCAACAAAACAGACAGUUCUCGGCCUCUGUGUUUUCAUUGUCCAACUGAAGAUUAGACAAGAGGCAGCAUGGGGUGGUGGAUAAAUCGUGGACCAGGAUUGAAGCGAAGAUCUGCUCAUCUGGGACACUCACCAGGUUGCAUUCCGUAGAAGCAGAUCCUGAUAAGAUGAUGAAGUGCACAUGUCUCUUGAGAAAAUGCUCUCAGGAGAAGGGGGGAAGGUAAGCCAGGUGCAGCAGAGGACUGAGCAAGGUUGGGGUCUCAGCUGGACACUUCUUGGACCUGUUCCCACGGGAGCUCUGGAGUAUGAACUGUACCACAGAAUUGUCUCACCUAGAGGUAAGGGGCCUGCCUUUUGUACCCUAUGCCAGUCAUGGAUUACAUGCUGCCCCUGGUGGGAAGGUGG